AUCCAGCUGAUGAGUUCCGAACGCGACGAAACGCACGUCCUGGAU
rnacentral:hammerhead_ribozyme from 1 species